rnacentral:rRNA from 1 species
CAGCCGCCGCGGGAAUACGUAGGUGGCAAGCGUUGUCCGGAAUUAUUGGGCGUAAAGGGCUCGCAGGCGGUUUCUUGAGUCUGAUGUGAAAGCCCCCGGCUCAACCGGGGAGGGUCAUUGGAAACUGGGAAACUUGAGUGCAGAAGAGGAGAGUGGAAUUCCACGUGUAGCGGUGAAAUGCGUAGAGAUGUGGAGGAACACCAGUGGCGGAGGCGACUCUCUGGUCUGUAACUGACGCUGAGGAGCGAAAGCGUGGGGAGCGAACAGGAUUAGAUACCCCAGUAGUCCCUGUCUCUUAUAC